GUAGGUGGCAAGCGUUGUCCGGAAUUAUUGGGCGUAAAGCGCGCGCAGGCGGUUCUUUAAGUCUGAUGUGAAAGCCCACGGGCUCAACCGUGGAGGGUCAUUGGAAACUGGAGAACUUGAGUACAGAAGAGGAAAGCGGAAUUCCACGUGUAGCGGUGAAAUGCGUAGAGAUGUGGAGGAACACCAGUGGCGAAGGCGGCUUUCUGGUCUGUAACUGACGCUGAGGCGCGAAAGCGUGGGGAGCAAACAGGAUUAGAUACCCUGGUAGUCCACGCCGUAAACGAUGAGUGCUAAGUGUAGGGGGUUUCCGCCCCUUAGUGCUGCAGCUAACGCAUUAAGCACUCCGCUUGGGGAGUACGGCCGCAAAGGCUG
rnacentral:rRNA from 1 species